rnacentral:rRNA from 1 species
AGCCACCGCGGUAAUUCCAGCUCCAAUAGCGUAUAUUAAAGUUGUUGCAGUUAAAAAGCUCGUAGUUGAAUUUCGGGGUUAGUAGGUUGGUCAUGCCUCUGGUAUGUACUGGUCUCACUGAUUCCUCCUUCCUGAUGAGCCGUAAUGCCAUUAAUAUUGGUGUUGCGGGGAAUUUGGACUGUUACUUUGAAAAAAUUAGAGUGUUUAAAGCAAGCUAACGCUUGAAUACAUUAGCAUGGAAUAAUGAAAUAGGACGUUCGAUCCUAUUUUGUUGGUUUCUAGGAUUGACGUAAUGAUUAAUAGGGAUAGUUGGGGGCAUUAGUAUUCAAUUGUCAGAGGUGAAAUUCUUGGAUUUAUUGAAGACUAACUACUGCGAAAGCAUUUGCCAAGGAUGUUUUCAUUAAUCAAGAACGAAAGUUAGGGGAUCGAAGACGAUCAGAUACCGUACGUAGUCUUAACCAUAAACUAUGCCGACUAGGGAUCGGAUGAUGUUAAUUUUUUAAUGACUCA